CCGUUAGUAACGGCGAGUGAACACGGAGAAGCUCAUCGAUGAACGGGAAUCUUUUGAUUUCCCGGUGUUCGGUUACGGAUCGGUGGCGGAUUGUUUUGUUGCGCAAUAAUCCUGCUGGAAAGCAUGAUCAAAGAGGGUAAUAAUCCCGUAUAUGUGCUUCAAUUCAAUCAUUGCUCCUUUCUAGUGAGUAGAGUUAUUUGAAAAUGUAACUCAAAGUGGAGAUAUGUCUCUCCAAAAGCUAAAUAAAAUGCGAGACCGAUAGCAAACAAGUACCGUGAGGGAAAGUUGAAAAGCACUCUGAAGAGAGAGUGAAAAGUACGUGAAACCGUUGAGGGGGAAAGGAAGAGUACGUUAACUGUCUUCAGUGCCUUGUACUUCGUCUACAGGGUUAAGGAAGGAUGUAGUUAUUUUCUAUAGUUUUUGUCAGAGGACUUUGCUUCAUUUAGCUUCGGUUAAAUGUCGAAAGGUCUCUUUGUCUGAAUUAGAUGCUUUCUUAUUCUGUUUUAACAAUGGGGAGUAACUUCAUUUUCAAUGUGCUCUCCCACCCGUCUUGAAACACGGACCAAGGAGUUUGGGUUGCCCGCGAGUGAAUGUGCGGUUGAAUGCGCAUUCGCGAAGUGAAAGCAAAUAUGUGUUCUUAACAGAAUUGCAUGCUCAUUUGGUGAUAGCACUAGAACAGUGUCUUGCAACCAAAGACGGUUUCGCCUUUAAGUGCUUAAUCGAUCUGGAGCGGGUAACACAAGACCCGAAAGAUGGUGAUCUAUGCUUGGGCAGAGUGAAGCCACGGGAAACCAUGGUGGAAGCUCGCAGCGGUUCUGACGUGCAAAUCGAUCGUCUGACCCAAGUAUAGGGGCGAAAGACUAAUCGAACCAUCUAGUAGCUGGUUCCCUCCGAAGUUUCCCUCAGGAUAGCGAAAGCUCAAAUAAACUGCUUUUAAAACAGUUUCAUCGGGUAAAGCGAAUGAUUAGAGGCCUGGGGAAUUCCGUAUUCUUCACCUAUUCUCAAACUUUAAAUCGGUGAGAUGUCUUUGUGACUUAAUUGCACAUCGACUAUUGAAUGUGAGCUUUCAGUGGGCCGUUUUUGGUAAGCAGAACCGGCGAUGUGGGAUGAACCAAACGUUGAGUUAAGGCGCCUAACUACUUGCUCAUGAGUAACCACAAAAGGUGUUGAUUGAUAUUGACAGCAGGACGGUGGCCAUGGAAGUCGGAAUCCGCUAAGGAGUGUGUAACAACUCACCUGCCGAAUCAAUCAGCCCUGAAAAUGGAUGGCACUUGAGCUAGUGGCCUAUACUCAACCGUGAACACCAAAGUCUGACAUUUGGCUGCUCCUUGUGGGUAGUUUCAGUCGGAAUACAAUUUUAAUUAUGUGUUCACGAGUAGGAGGGAACAGCGGUUGCGUUAAAGUGUAUGCGUGAGCGUAUGCGUCAAGCGGCCGUUGGCUCAGAUCUUGGUGGUAGUAGCAAGUACUCAAAUAUGAACUUUGAGGACUGAAGCGGGCAAGGUUUUCAUGUGAACAGUGUUUGAACAUGAGUUAGUCGAUUCUUAGAGACAGGCUAACGCCUAUUGUACUGUAGUGUAUUGAAAACUACUUGGUCUCGAAAGAGCAUAGGGUUAAUAUUCCCUAACUGCGCCUAUCGGUAAUAACGGCGGUAACGCCAGCGUAACUCAAUUAGUCAAUGUGAGCUUGGGGAAGAGUUUUCUUUUCUUUAUAACCAGUAGUGUUGCCUUGGAAUUGAUUCAAUCAGAGAUAAGGAACCGAGACUGGGAAGAGCACAGCAGCAUUUGUUGUGUCCCAAUUGUUUGCAUUGUCCCUUGAAGAUUGAGCGUAGCUAAUACCAAUAGGUACAAUCGUACCCAUAACCGCAUCAGGUCCCCAAGGUGAGAAGCCUCUGGUCUUGGAACAGUGUAGGUAAGGGAAGUCGGCAAAAUUGAUCCGUACCUUAGGAAGAAGGAUUGGCUCUGAUGAUUGGGUGUAACAAGCCUUGAGUUUGAAACGUCGGUACUCGUCGGUGUGCGAUGGUGUCUGUCCGCCUUCACGGGUGUUCGGAUGUCGUUGGCGCUAACUUGGACUGUUCGUGGACUGACUUUUGGUCUUUCUCUGUUGCACAUUUAACAAUCAAGCUCAGAACUGGUUCGGACAAGAGGAAUCCGACUGGUUAAUUAAACCAAAGCAUUGCGAUGGCUGGUGAACUGGUGUUGACGCAAUGUGAUUUCUGCCCAGUGCUCUGAAUGUCAAAGUGAAGAAAUUCAAUAAAGCGCGGGUAAACGGCGGGAGUAACUAUGACUCUCUUAAGGUAGCCAAAUGCCUCGUCAUCUAAUUAGUGACGCGCAUGAAUGGAUUAACGAGAUUCCUACUGUCCCUAUCUACUAUCCAGCGAAACCACAGCCUUGGGAACGGGCAAGGCGUAGUCAGCGGGGAAAGAAGACCCUGUUGAGCUUGACUCUAGUCUGAUUUUGUGAAGUGGCUCGAAAGGUGUAGCAUAGGUGGGAGCUUAACGGCGCCAGUGAAAUACCACUACUUUCGGUGUCACUUUACUAAUCCAGUGAAAAUGCGAGACUCUUAAUUGGGUUUCUUGAAGAGAAAGCUUGUGAUUGUUUAACCGCAAAUCGGGCGUGCAUACCUGGAGACAGAAUCAGGUGGGGAGUUUGACUGGGGCGGUACAUCUGUAAAAAGAUAACGCAGGUGUCCUAAGGCGGACUCAGCGGGGACAGAAACCUCGCGUAGAGCAAAAGGGCAAAUGUCCGCUUGAUCUAGAUUUUCAGUGUGAUUACAGACUGCGAAAGCGUGGCCUAUCGAUCCUUUUGGUUUUAGAGACUUUAAACAAGAGGUGUCAGAAAAGUUACCACAGGGAUAACUGGCUUGUGGCAGCCAAGCGUUCAUAGCGACGUUGCUUUUUGAUCCUUCGAUGUCGGCUCUUCCUAUCAUUGCGAAGCAGAAUUCGCAAAGUGUUGGAUUGUUCACCCACUAACAGGGAACGUGAGCUGGGUUUAGACCGUCGUGAGACAGGUUAGUUUUACCCUACUGACCAUUAUUACUCUAUUACUGCCUGCUUACUUACAGCAAUCCCACUUAGUACGAGAGGAACCGUGGGUUCGGACACUUGGUUUCAACGCCUGUUUGAGAAAACA
rnacentral:rRNA from 1 species